rnacentral:rRNA from 1 species
GUGCCAGCAGCCGCGGUAAUACGGAGGGUGCAAGCGUUAUCCGGAAUUAUUGGGCGUAAAGAGCUCGUAGGCGGUUUGUCGCGUCGGCUGUGAAAUCUGGAGGCUCAACCUCCAGCCUGCAGUGGGUACGGGCAGACUAGAGUGCGGUAGGGGAGAUUGGAAUUCCUGGUGUAGCGGUGGAAUGCGCAGAUAUCAGGAGGAACACCGAUGGCGAAGGCAGAUCUCUGGGCCGUAACUGACGCUGAGGAGCGAAAGGGUGGGGAGCGAACAGGCUUAGAUACCCUGGUAGUCCACCCCGUAAACGUUGGGAACUAGUUGUGGGGGCCUUUCCACGGUCUCCGUGACGCAGCUAACGCAUUAAGUUCCCCGCCUGGGGAGUACGGCCGCAAGGCUAAAACUCAAAGGAAUUGACGGGGACCCGCACAAGCGGCGGAGCAUGCGGAUUAAUUCGAUGCAACGCGAAGAACCUUACCAAGGCUUGACAUAUACCGGAAAAGGCUGGAAACAGUCUCCCCCUUGUGGUCGGUAUACAGGUGGUGCAUGGUUGUCGUCAGCUCGUGUCGUGAGAUGUUGGGUUAAGUCCCGCAACGAGCGCAACCCUCGUUCUAUGUUGCCAGCACGUUAUGGUGGGAACUCAUGGGAUACUGCCGGGGUCAACUCGGAGGAAGGUGGGGAUGACGUCAAAUCAUCAUGCCCCUUAUGUCUUGGGCUUCACGCAUGCUACAAUGGCCGGUACAAAGGGCUGCGAUACCGUAAGGUGGAGCGAAUCCCAAAAAGCCGGUCCCAGUUCGGAUUGAGGUCUGCAACUCGACCUCAUGAAGUCGGAGUCGCUAGUAAUCGCAGAUCAGCAACGCUGCGGUGAAUACGUUCCCGGGCCUUGUACACACCGCCCGU